GCAUGUAUUGUUACACCCGAAGAAAGAUGUAAACUACAACAUAUUUCUAAAAAUUAAUCUUUACAUUUAUUUUUCUAUUUUUUUUAAAUCUUUUCUUUGUCCGAAAUUGUUAUAUCUUGACACCAACUCAAGAAGCAACUCUGUAUCCUUCAGAACAAAUUUUUUCGAGUGCAUUAUUCCUGUCUGCACGUAGGCCAGACACGCACACCAUGCCACCAACUCUCAGACGGUAAAAAAACACAAGAACUCACGGGACAGCAUAAAAAUAAACGUUCAAACUUACGUACCGACCGACCGACCGACCGAGUGGAGUAGCAAACGGAGGCACAAAAGUUAACUGGAAAAACGUCACCCAGCAAACAUUUGACAGGAACAGGGGCAGGGACAGGGAAAUGGGUUGAAAGUCUUUAGCGGCAAUUAGCACUCACCUGCCGAAGUUGCAGACGCAUCUAAAUUUGGGAAUGCACCAAUCCUAACAGUUAAAAGCUUCAAAUCAUACAACAUGUUGUCUACACAACGGGUUUACACAUCAGAAUUCAUAAAAGUGAAUCUUCCAACACACACACACACACACACGACACUCACACUCACUCCCACUCGCUCGCACUCUCUCGUGAACACACAAAUGUAUCUGCAAGUUGCAGUAACAUAUACAGAUUCAGAUACAAAUGUAGGCAAAAGCAACAACAACAGAACAGCAUUAGCAGCAGAGACUGCAGCUCAUGUCGUAAUGCUGUUGAUGUAAUAAAAAAAAAAAAAGAGCGCAGCAGCAGCAGCAACAACAAUGUUAUCAACAGUAAUGACCAGGAAAACACAAUGACGAAAGAAAAGCUUAGCAAAACAAAAAUGUGACAAGGAACAAUAAAUUAACGUGAGACUGAGACUGAGACUGGCCAAGGCGAUAGAAGCGGUAGGUAGGAUGAGGAUAAGGAUGGGAAGCGAAGCAGGAAUUUAUGGACGAAAAAUACCUGUUACUCGAGACGAGACUUCUGAUUAUAGCCAGCAAUCAACAAUUAUGGUGUUUGGCUUUCAUGAGGCCCAUUAAUAUUCCCUUAUUUAAUAUUCCCUUCAAACUCCAUAAAGCAUAAUUUAUUUAAUUAAAACAAACAAUUGUAAAAAACUCAAUAAACUUAAACAUUUGCUGUUAAAAGUAUCUGUUCCCAGUCAAUUUAACUGGGAACAGUUUAGCGCUCUGAGAGAGCAACUAGGUGAGAGCAGAACAAGAGAGAGAGAGAGAGCAGCAUAACAGCAAGAAAGCUAUAUACGCUUAAAGCAGACGUUUCUAUACCCUUCUAAUCUAACAGAUUCAAAAAAAUUUAAUCCGGAAUUCAGGUAAUUAGAAAUGAAAUCAAUGGGAACAAUUUUUCUGGGAAUAAAGUUUAUUUUUAUUUCUCAUGCCUUAAACCUUAUCGUUUCUAUGACAGCUAAUCCGAUUUAGUUUUUUUUUUUGGAAAUUAUCCCUCUAAUAUCUUGAUAUUGAUAUUUAGGGUCAACAGUUAUUCUCUCCAACAUCUGGUCAAAAUUGUAAUAACUUAAGAGGGCAUUACAACAAUAACUGUAAGCGGCGUCUCUUUUGUUUUUACAUCAUUUACAUACAUACGAUGUAGAGGCUUUCCCAGUCGGGCUUUUUGGUGCAUGCAUCGUGCCGCAGUCGCCUGACGCGCGCUUUUUUGCACCGUUUUCCGCUUGCAUGCAGACAUCAAGGAAAUUUUUUCCCUUUUCAAAGCAAUUGCUCUGAAAAAAAGGGGACUUAGAAAAUUUUCAUCUCGUUUGGGACUUAGAAAAAUUUUUGCGUGGGACAUUUAACUUAGAAAAAAUUUAUUCAUGCCAAAUUAUUAAUAUUAUAUUUUAUAUUAUUCAUUGAAUACUUUUAAGUUAUAGAAGUGUCAAUUUAAACAAAUUGUUUAAAUACAAAAUAAAAACAAAAAAUUUUAAAUUGAACUAAAAUAGUUUAAUUUUAUUAUUAAAAUAAAAAAUAAAGGAGUAAAAACAAAAGUUACACACCUCAAGCAAAAAAAAAAAAAUUGAAUAAUAAUGUAAAUCUUAAAAAUAAAUACAUUUCUUAAUAGUGAAUUGUGUAAAUACAGAAAACAAAAAAAUAUAAUAUAAAAAAUGGGUGAAAGGGUUGCCAUCGCGUGGGCGAUAUUUUUCUAAGUGCGGGAAUCGAUAGUAGCUUUAAAGUAUGGCAACUCCCCCACCCUAUUUAUUCUAGUGCAUUUAGUUGAAUUGAACGUGUUGAAUUGCAUUUUAACAAAAGAAAUAAUCAACAAGGAGUGAUUUUUCCACCUACGACGACUUCAUUAGGGCCAUCCGGGAUGGAAUAAGGAGAGCCAAAAAUAAAAAUUAUAAGGAAAAAUAAAAAAAAAACAAAGAAAAUUCCCCGCCAUUACUUGACAAUUUAAAUUAAGCAGAAUGUUUAAAUAUUGUUUACUUUUAUUUUUAAUUUUUAGUUUUAAUUUGUAGUUUCAAUUUUUAGUUUUAAUUUUUAGUUUUAAUUUUAGCAGUGUAUUAAUUAACAGUGUAACUUAUAUUUAAUUUUAAUUUAAUAAAAUAAAAACGAAUAAAAGCAAAAAAAAAAGCAAAAGCAAAAAAAA